GUGAAUCAUCAAAUCUUUGAACGCAAAUUGCACUUUCUGGUAUUCCGGAAAGUAUGCCUGUUUGAGGGUCAGUUAAAUAAAAAUCGGUGUUGUUGCUGCUUGUCGUUGAGACGCUGCGGAAUUUAGUUGUCUUACCUUCGAUUACGAGACUUAAAAUUUUGCAUGAUUUUCGGACGUAUUUAAAUUUCUUACGUACGUUUGAGAUAUAUAAUACUUUAUUAGGUUCUGUCAUCCUCAUGAUACGCAC
rnacentral:misc_RNA from 1 species